rnacentral:lncRNA from 1 species
AAAGAGAACUAAUUUACCCCAAAUCACACAGAAAUUAGGAGCUGGAGUGUCCACCUGGGGUCGCGAAUCUGUGACUAGGAAGCAGUCAUUCCCAGCCAGAGGUGGUGCCGACCCACAGCGGAUAUUUGUUGGUGCUUGGAAAAGGCAACAUUACCUGCUCCGGCUCAGUAAGGGGGUGUGACCUGCUCCACGCAGCUGACUUCCGUGGGCUCCGAGUCUCGCAGUGCUCAGGACGGCGCCUCCACGGGGAAUCACUGGGUCACAAAUGUCGAAAGAAGUGUCGAGAUAUUUUCUUUUUCCAUGUGAAGAAGCCAGGACCUGUCCACCGGUAUUCAAUUCAGAUCAAUGAAUGAGGAUUUUGCAGAAUCUAAAAUGGUUAAACGUGUGAUUAGCAAUCUUAGAGAAACCUCCGGUGGAAGGGAACACAUUGGAAGUAACGUGUCCUCCCAUCAAUAAACAGGGAUUAAAUUAAAUUUGAGUACA